UACGGGGGGGGCAAGCGUUGUUCGGAAUUACUGGGCGUAAAGGGCUCGUAGGCGGCCAACUAAGUCAGACGUGAAAUCCCUCGGCUUAACCGGGGAACUGCAUCUGAUACUGGAUGGCUUGAGUUCGGGAGAGGGAUGCGGAAUUCCAGGUGUAGCGGUGAAAUGCGUAGAUAUCUGGAGGAACACCGGUGGCGAAGGCGGCAUCCUGGACCGAUAUUGACGCUGAGGAGCGAAAGCUAGGGGAGCAAACGGG
rnacentral:rRNA from 1 species